AUUGAACGCUGGCGGCAGGCCUAACACAUGCAAGUCGAACGAGUGGCGGACGGGUGAGUAAUGUCUGGGAAACUGCCUGAUGGAGGGGGAUAACUACUGGAAACGGUAGCUAAUACAGCAUACCAUCGGAUGUGCCCAGCGGGGAUUAGCUAGUAGGUGGGGGAACGGCGCACCGAGGCGACGAUCCCUAGCUGGGCUGAGAGGAUGAACAGCCACACGGGAACUGAGACACGGUCCAGACUCGUACGUGAGGCAGCAGUGUGGAAUAUUGCACAAUGGGCGCAAGCCUGAUGCAGCCAUGCCGCGUGUAUGAAGAAGGCCUUCGGGUUGUAAAGUACUUUCAGCGGGGAGGCGUUACCCGCAGAAGAAGCACCGGCUAACUCCGUGCCAGCAGCCGCGGUAAUUC
rnacentral:rRNA from 1 species